AACGCGAAGAACCUUACCUGGGCUUGAACCGCACAGGACCAGCUCUAGAAAUAGGGCCUUCUCGCAAGAGACCUGUGUAGAGGUGCUGCAUGGCUGUCGUCAGCUCGUGCCGUGAGGUGUUGGGUUAAGUCCCGCAACGAGCGCAACCCUUACUCAUAGUUGCUACCCGCAAGGGAGAACUCUAUGAGGACUGCUCCGGAUAACGGAGAGGAAGGUGGGGAUGAGGUCAAGUCAGCAUGGCCUUUAUGUCCAGGGCUACACACGUGUUACAAUGCGCGCCACAAAGCGUUGCAAACCCGCGAGGGGGAGCUAAUCGCAUAAAAGCGCGCUCAGUUCGGAUUGCAGUCUGCAACUCGACUGCAUGAAGCCGGAAUCGCUAGUAAUGGCGCAUCAGAACGGCGCCGUGAAUACGUUCCCGGGCCUUGUA
rnacentral:rRNA from 1 species